UUACUUACCUGGCAGGGGAGAUACCAUGAUCCUGAAGGUGGUUUUCCCAGGAUGAGGCUCACCCUUUGCACUCCGGGUGUGCUGACUCUUGUGGUUUCCCCAAAUGUAGGAAACUCCACCACAUAAUGUGUGGUAGUGGAUUCACACUGCAUUCAC